rnacentral:tRNA from 1 species
UCUCUGGUAACUCAGUGGUUUAGAGUGUGAAGCUUAUGUUGAUAACAAUUUUUCUUCAUGGUCGAGGGUUCAAACCCCUCCCGGAGAA